rnacentral:tRNA from 1 species
UAAGGUUGAAUUGAAAGGUGUUUCUGCCUUUUAUUUUAUUAAUAUAUGUAUUGAUUUUUUUUAUAAAUUU